rnacentral:lncRNA from 1 species
AUCAUAUGAUACUAUGAAAUAUUCUAUCUUAUGCAUCAAUUCAUGUAAAACCUUACGUUUGAUCCGAUAAGAUAGUGAAAGGUUUACUUAUUAAGCCGCGUCGCUCAUAAAUCUCUAUUUUUAUUUUUUUUCUCUAGACGAAUAGGAUCAGUAGGGACAAAGAAUGGUACGGGCUUAAAAUUUGUGCUAACAAGCUUAGCGAUUUAUAUAGCAUAACUUUAGUUCUUUAGUUGAUGAUGAAUUUGCAGCAUAGUAAUUUUCUACAUGUUUGAAAUUAGAAACUUUGGACUAAUAAUAGUCGUAUUUAAUGGAUAACAAAAUUAGAUUUCUAUUUAUUUUAUUUUAUUUAAAAAAUUAAAAGUUAAAUAUAAUAUCAGCUACAUGUUAUGGUAGGGCUUUCACUUCCAUCACCAUUCUCGAUGAAGCCCUAAUGUUCAAGCUGAAGAAGUUAUGACCCCAAGUUUCUCCUGCUGAGGUCCAAUCUGAGGCUAAUGGAGCAUCACCCAUUUUUAUGGAUUAAAAACAAAGGAACGAGAAAAUAUAGAACACAAACAAGAAGCAGACCAAGACAAACCAAAUGCUUCCAAGAGAAAACAGUAAUAGGAUUGGAACAACCAAGAACUAGAGGCAUCUUCUCGCACCCCAUCACCCCAGCUAACACCCGUUCCCACCAUUCAAAUCCUAAGGCCAACCUCCGCCUCACAACUCAUAUCCUCCUCCUGGCUCCUCACCACCUUAAUAAAC